rnacentral:rRNA from 1 species
GUGGGGAAUCUUAGACAAUGGGGGAAACCCUGAUCUAGCCAUGCCGCGUGAGCGAUGAAGGCCUUAGGGUUGUAAAGCUCUUUCAGCUGGGAAGAUAAUGACGGUACCAGUAGAAGAAGCCCCGGCUAACUCCGUGCCAGCAGCCGCGGUAAUACGGAGGGGGCUAGCGUUGUUCGGAAUUACUGGGCGUAAAGCGCGCGUAGGCGGACCAGAAAGUUGGAGGUGAAAUCCCAGGGCUCAACCUUGGAACUGCCUUCAAAACUCCUGGUCUGGAGUUCGAGAGAGGUGAGUGGAAUUCCGAGUGUAGAGGUGAAAUUCGUAGAUAUUCGGAGGAACACCAGUGGCGAAGGCGGCUCACUGGCUCGAUACUGACGCUGAGGUGCGAAAGCGUGGGGAGCAAACAGGAUUAGAAACCCUUGUAGUCC